rnacentral:misc_RNA from 1 species
GAUGAAGAACGUAGCGAAAUGCGAUACUUGGUGUGAAUUGCAGAAUCCCGUGAACCAUCGAGUCUUUGAACGCAAGUUGCGCCCGAAGCCACUAGGCCGAGGGCACGCCUGCUUGGGCGUCACACGUCGUUGCCCCCCCCCCAUCUACUCCUUCGGGAUUGCGGGGGGCGGAUGAUGGCCUCCCGUGCGCCUAGCCGCGCGGUUGGCAUAAAUACCAAGUCCUCGGCGACGCACGCCACGACAAUCGGUGGUUGCGAAACCUCGGUUGCCCGUCGUGUGCGUUCGUCGCGCAUCGAGGGCUCGAAAAAAUGCUCGGCUCCGGCUCGGCUUUCAACGCGACCCCAGGUCAGGCGGGGUUACCCGCUGAAUUUAAGCAUAUCAAUAAGCGGAGGA